UACGAAGGGUGCAAGCGUUGCUCGGAAUUAUUGGGCGUAAAGGGUAGGUAGGUGGUAAUACAAGUCUGGGGUGAAAUCCCUGAGCUCAACUCAGGACGUGCCUUGGAAACUGUAUUACUAGAGUGCUAGAGAGGUUCGUGGAAUUCUUGGUGUAGCGGUGAAAUGCGUAGAGAUCAAGAGGAACAUCAGCGGCGAAGGCGGCGAACUGGAUAGUAACUGACACUGAACUACGAAAGCGUGGGGAGCAAACAGG
rnacentral:rRNA from 1 species